GCAUGUGUCAAGCUCAUGGAGCGAAACCUGUGUCGAUCAGUGUCGAUGCGUGUGUUGCUUUAAGAAUAAGUCACGUGACCAACACUGCUGCUGUGUCGCUCAUUGCCGAGGCGCCAAACUGUGUUUAUAAGGUAUCGACUCUGCAUCUGUCAACGGGAUGAGUCGCCGCGAAAAAAUUACCAUUUCAAAGAUAAAACGAGACAUCCCUCUUUACAUCAAGAAAAUGGAGCCAGAGAGGAAAAGAAAAGUUUCUGCUGUGUGGGAUCAUUUUGAUCUUUUAACAGCAAAUAAGGUUAAAUGUCGGAUCUGCUCAGCGGAGUUGUCUUAUACAAAUAAGAGCACUUCCUCAAUGCUGAGACAUUACAGGGUCAAGCAUGAAAACGAAGAGGAAGCAAAUACACCAAGAACGAACACAGGUAGACCUAUAUAGACACUGGGCGUGCUUUGUCACAGUUGUUUUACUAAUAUAUGUUUUAUUAUUUUGAAAUCUAGGAAGAUUGCUCUGGACCAAGCAGUCCUGAAUUUUAUUAAAGGACUGCCAACCCCUGAGCAUUGUGGAGAGUGAGGGGUUCAGGGGGUUGAUUCAGGUCCUUGAUCCAUCUUACGUUUUGCCAACCAGAAAGACGGUUAAGGAAAUGAUGGCCAAAAAGCAUGCGGAGGAACUCGAACGAGUAAAAAGGGAAGUACAGCAAGCUGUGGCAGUGAGUAUAACAGCUGACAUGUGGACCUCCUUGAACAUGGAGGCUUACUUAGCUCUUACCUGUCACUACAUCAAUGAUAAUAUGCAGUUGUGUACAUCUGUGUUGGGAGUCAAACACUUUCCACAAAGUCACACUGCUGACAAUCUGGCCCAAGUCAAAAGGGGCAUGAUGAACGACUGGGCCAUAACAAAUAAGGUAAGGUGUCUUGUGACCGACGCAGCACCAAACAUGAUAGCAGCAACGCGAACUCUUCAAAUUCGACAUUCAAUCUGCAUUUUGCACACAAACUAAAUUUAAUAGUCAAAAAAUCCUGUGAUCAGAUCCCUGAACUUCCAUCCAUAAGACACAAAUCUAGGCAGAUUGAGUUGUAUCAUUCUUCAGAUCCAGCACCACAGCAAAAGAGAAGCUUGCUCAAGUGCAGCAACAGAUGGGACGGCCCACCUUGAAACUUGUCACUGAGGUACCAACACGUUGGAACAGCACAGAUGCUGUCACGGCUACAUGAUGAGAAAGAACCAGUGUGGGUAUCUCUUGCCUCUCUCCAAACAAAUUUAACUCCACUCACAGCUGAUGAGUUCAACAUCUUAAGGGAAGCACUUCUUGUGCUGGUCCCUUUCCAUCAGGCCACAGUGGAGUUGUCUGAGGAGAGGAGAGUUUCAGGAUCAAAGGUCAUCCCGAUGAUGAAAAUGCUAAAUUGUGCACUUGAGCGGAACUCUUUACACACACAAGCAGCCACACAUCUCCAUGACCAACAUAGACGUCGCGUCACAGACACUGCUUCCAAUCUGGAGUCAUGUGUGUUGACCCUAUCAACACUUUUAGACCCCAGAUUUAAAACACUUGGAUUUCGUAGUUCCUCCAAGUGUAGUGAGGCUGUCAAUCGCCUGAAAAUGGAGUGUGCUGCAGUAAUUGGUCACACAACAUCUGAGCCACAGCCUGGACCUUCAUCAGAGCAGUUACCCACUUCAGGCAAGUUGUUCAGUAUUAUCAGUUUAUUUUCACAUUUGUUUU